UACGAAGGGGGCUAGCGUUGCUCGGAAUCACUGGGCUUAAAGGGCGCGUAGGCGGCCCUCUUGGUCGUGGGUGAAAUCCCCCAGCUUAACUGGGGAAGGGCUUACGAUACCGGGGGGCUCGAGGGAGGAAGGGGCGGUCGGAACUGUCGGUGGAGCGGUGAAAUGCGUUGAUAUCGACAGGAACGCCGGUGGCGAAAGCGGACCGCUGGCCCUCUUCUGACGCUGAGGCGCGAAAGCCAGGGGAGCGAACGGG
rnacentral:rRNA from 1 species